GUGCUCAAUUUGUCAGGAUACCUACUAAAACUAGAAUGACAUAGGGAAGAUUAGCAUGGCCCCUGCACAAAGAUGCUUCACAAAUUUAUGAACUGUUCCAUAUUUUA